AAUCAACGCUGGCGGCGUGCCUCAGACAUGCAAGUCGAACGAUUAAAGCUCUCUUCGGAGAGUGUAUAAAGUGGCGCACGGGUGAGUAACACGUAAGUAAUCUACCUUCGAGUGGGGAAUAACGUCCGGAAACGGACGCUAAUACCGCAUAAUGCACCGGCAUCGCAAGAUGACAGUUGUUAAAGAUUUAUCGCUUGAAGAGGAGCUUGCGGCAGAUUAGCUAGUUGGUAAGGUAAUGGCUUACCAAGGCUACGAUCUGUAACCGGUCUAAGAGGACGGUCGGUCACACUGACACUGAAUAACGGGUCAGACUCCUACGGGAGGCAGCAGUCGGGAAUUUGGGCAAUGGGCGAAAGCCUGACCCAGCAACGCCGCGUGAAGGAUGAAGUAUUUCGGUAUGUAAACUUCGAAAGAAUAGGAAGAAUAAAUGAC
rnacentral:rRNA from 1 species